rnacentral:rRNA from 1 species
UUCCUUUUAGUGGGGAAUAGCCCAGAGAAAUUUGGAUUAAUACCCCGUAACAUAGCGAUGAGGCAUCUCAUUGCUAUUAUAGCUUCGGCGCUAGAUGAUGGGUGUGCGUAUGAUUAGAUAGUUGGCGAGGUAACGGCUCACCAAGUCUACGAUCAUUAGCUGAUGUGAGAGCAUGAUCAGCCACACGGGCACUGAGACACGGGCCCGACUCCUACGGGAGGCAGCAGUAAGGAAUAUUGGUCAAUGGACGAAAGUCUGAACCAGCCAUGCCGCGUGAAGGAUUAAGGUCCUCUGGAUUGUAAACUUCUUUUAUAUGGGACGAAAAAAGGUCUUUCUAGAUCACUUGACGGUACCAUAUGAAUAAGCACCGGCUAACUCCGUGCCAGCAGCCGCGGUAAUACGGAGGGUGCAAGCGUUAUCCGGAUUCACUGGGUUUAAAGGGUGCGUAGGCGGGUAGGUAAGUCAGUGGUGAAAUCCUGGAGCUCAACUCCAGAACUGCCAUUGAUACUAUCUAUCUUGAAUAUUGUGGAGGUAAGCGGAAUAUGUCAUGUAGCGGUGAAAUGCUUAGAUAUGACAUAGAACACCCAUUGCGAAGGCAGCUUACUACGCAUAUAUUGACGCUGAGGCACGAAAGCGUGGGGAUCAAACAGGAUUAGAUACCCUGGUAGUCCACGCCCUAAACGAUGGAUACUCGACAUACGCGAUACACUGUGUGUGUCUGAGCGAAAGCAUUAAG